rnacentral:rRNA from 1 species
GACGAACGCUGGCGGCGUGCUUAACACAUGCAAGUCGAGCGGUAAGGCCCUUUCGGGGGUACACGAGCGGCGAACGGGUGAGUAACACGUGGGUGACCUGCCCUCAGCUCUGGGAUAAGCCUGGGAAACCGGGUCUAAUACUGGAUAUGACUCCAUGACGCAUGUUGUGGGGUGGAAAGCCUUGUGCGGCUGAGGAUGGGCCCGCGGCCUAUCAGCUUGUUGGUGGGGUGANGGCCUACCAAGGCGACGACGGGUAGCCGGCCUGAGAGGGCGACCGGCCACACUGGGACUGAGACACGGCCCAGAC